ACUUAAAAUUCUGACUGACCCUAAACUUCUUAAUGUGUACUUUUACAGUAUCUUAUAGUUUCACAGACAUGGACUGUAAACAGUAAGCGCACGUCUUGUUUUCUGGUGCUGUACAGUAUAUAUAGUUGUUUAUAAUGGAUCUCAAAGGCAGUCUGUUGAUUGACAACCUCUGCACUAUGAUCGAGUACACUGCUGUCAUGUGCCGUUUCCAGGUGAUUGCAGACACAAGGCAGGUGGUAGAACAGGAGCAGCCGGGUGAGGUGGAGCGCUGGAAGAGACUCGAUGUAGUCAUUCCCGUCCAUGAACACAGCCACACAUACCUGCCCCUCCGAUCCUGAGCUGUGUUUGCGUCACUCUGAAGAGUCCAGGAUGUGCGCAUACAUAUUUCUAUGACUCUGGCUAGCAGAAUUCCUGUGACAGCACUAAUCAUUGUUCGGCUAAUUUUGUGGAAAUAUUUAUAAUUAUGUAUUGUAAAGAUUAUUUAAUUAUUGUCAAGGAACAUGCAGGGUGUAUAACAUCAAAUUUGGUGUAAGUAAUUGCAGCAUAUUUUCAAAUGUUAUUUUGUAUUAAAGUGAAUUAUUAUUUGGA